UGCCAGCCGCCGCGGUAAUACGAAGGGCCCGAGCGUUGCGCGGAAUCACUGGGCUUAAAGCGUACGCAGGUGGGCGCAAAGGCGUCUUGUGAAAGCCCUCGGCUCAACCGAGGAAUUGCUCGGCGAACCAUGUGCCUUGAGGCAGGUAGGGGUUGUCGGAACGAUAGGUGGAGUGGUGAAAUGCGUUGAUAUCUAUCGGAACGCCAAAGGAGAAAUCAGGCAACUGGGCCUGUCCUGACACUGAGGUACGAAAGCGUGGGGAGCGAACAGGAUUAGAUA
rnacentral:rRNA from 1 species